rnacentral:sRNA from 1 species
GUUUGUGUCUAAACGGAGGCUCGGCCACAACGCCACUGGAUUGGUGGUAGGGCGGGGCGGGCCACAGUCUCCAGCCUGAAGCGGAAGUGGAGAAAAGAUGGAGGACCAUCAGCACGUGCCCAUCGACAUCCAGACCAGCAAGCUGCUCGAUUGGCUGGUGGACAGAAGGCACUGCAGCCUGAAAUGGCAGAGUCUGGUGCUGACGAUCCGCGAGAAGAUCAAUGCUGCCAUCCAGGACAUGCCAGAGAGCGAAGAGAUCGCCCAGCUGCUGUCUGGGUCCUGUGAGUGCUUAGGGGCUGUCACUGGAGUCCCCUCUUUGCUGAGACAUUCACUACUUUCACUGCCUAAGAAUCCUGGACCUUCUCAAAGGCACAGAGGCCUCCACGAAGAAUAUUUUUGGCCGAUACUCUUCACAGCGGAUGAAGGCAAGUGUGGGCCAAGGGCUGGUAGUAUGUGGUUGGGGACAUCCAAUCCGAGGAGUCAUAGCCUCUGUGGUCUCUCUGAGGCUCCAGUGGGGAUGCCUACAUAGA